CUGCCUGCGGGGUCCCCCCUCCCCGGUCCGCCCCGGCCCCUGAAGGCCUUUGUCUGUCGGCAGCCGGAGCGGCGGUACCAUGGCUUGGGGCGAGCUCAGCCUCCUCCGGUGGCUCCGGGAGAGCCGGCAGUCCAGGAAACUCAUCCUGCUCAUCGUGUUCAUCGCCCUGCUGCUGGACAACAUGCUGCUUACGGUAGUCGUGCCAAUAAUUCCCAGUUACCUUUACAGCAUCAAACAUGAAAAAAAUGCCUCAGAAAUCCAGACUACUAAACCUAGUGUAGUCUCAACAACGAUGGACAAUUUUCAGAGCAUCUUUUCCUACUAUGACAACUCAACGAUGGUCACUGGAAAUGAAUCUGAUAUGACACAACCCAGAGAGCUGCAUCCUACUCAAACAGAACAAAUGAUAGUAAAUGUGACUCCUUCCCCAUCUGACUGCCCGAAGGAAGAUAAGGACCUGCUGAAUGAAAAUGUGCAAGUCGGUCUCUUGUUUGCUUCAAAAGCAACAGUGCAGCUAAUCACUAACCCUUUCAUAGGGCCGCUGACAAACAGAAUAGGCUACCAGAUCCCCCUGUUUGCUGGCUUCUGCAUCAUGUUUGUGUCAACUAUCAUGUUUGCCUUCUCUGGAAGCUACACAUUACUGUUUAUUGCCAGGUCUCUUCAAGGAGUGGGUUCCUCUUGUUCUUCAGUGGCAGGGAUGGGAAUGCUUGCCAGUGUAUAUACAGAUGAUGAAGAGAGAGGCAACGCAAUGGGAAUUGCACUAGGAGGCCUCGCUAUGGGAGUCUUAGUGGGUCCACCUUUUGGGAGCGUCAUGUAUGAGUUUGUGGGGAAGAGUUCUCCUUUCCUGGUGCUGGCAGCACUAGCUCUGUUAGAUGGAGCUGUUCAAUUAUUUGUUCUGCAGCCAUCCAGAGCACAGGCAGAAAGUCAGAAGGGGACGCCGUUACUGACACUUUUGAAGGACCCGUAUAUCAUUAUUGCAGCAGGAUCAAUCUGCUUUGCAAACAUGGCUAUUGCUAUGCUUGAACCAGCUCUACCCAUCUGGAUGAUGGAGACCAUGUGUUCAAAGAAAUGGCAGCUUGGUGUUGCUUUUCUUCCAGCUAGUAUCUCUUAUCUUAUCGGGACUAAUCUAUUUGGGAUACUCGCGCAUAAAAUGGGAAGGUGGCUUUGCGCUUUACUCGGGAUGCUAAUCGUGGGAAUAAGUAUUUUAUGUGUACCAUUUGCUAAAAACAUUUAUGGGCUCAUAGCACCAAAUUUUGGAGUUGGAUUUGCCAUUGGAAUGGUGGACUCCUCCAUGAUGCCAAUUAUGGGCUACCUCGUAGAUCUGCGUCAUGUAUCAGUCUACGGCAGCGUGUACGCAAUAGCUGAUGUUGCCUUUUGCAUGGGCUUUGCCAUAGGUCCCUCUGCUGGCGGUGCCAUUGCAAAGGCCAUCGGAUUUCCAUGGCUCAUGACAAUUAUAGGGAUUGUGGAUAUCCUCUUCGCUCCCCUGUGUUUUUUCCUUCGAAGUCCACCUGCCAAAGAGGAGAAAAUGGCCAUACUCAUGGAUCACAACUGUCCUGUGAAAACAAAAAUGUAUACGCAGAACAACAUCCAGUCCUACCCCAUAGGUGAUGAAGAAGAAGAAUAUGAAAGUGAUGAAUAACAUGAAAAGCCAUAUAACAUAUUUUGGUGUACAAAAUGCAGUGUUUCAUGUGAAACAUCUCAUCCACAAAUAGGUUUUAGUUGUACUGUACAUUUAAUAGUGAAAUGGUCAAAAAGACCAAAGGUGUAUUAUUCAUCGCCCAUGGUUGUAAAGCAGACUGCUAACCGCCUUAUGGGGGGAGGGGGGAAGCUUUUUAUAGAGGAUUUGUAUAGUGUUAAUCUUUAUUUUAUUUAAUUUUAAUGAAUAUUACCUUAUAUUUUUAUUAAUUGUGUAGUAUAGAUCUGUAUAAACAUGCAAAUUUUAGAUGGUUUUUAAAGUCAAACUCAUUUCAAUAUUUCAUAUUUUGUUUGGAGUCGUAAGUUACUGUCAAGAGCUCGGGUCUUUCUUAUUGAGUGGAAAGGCAGAAAGAAAAGCAAAGCUCAAAGAAAAUCCAUCCAAUUUGCACCCAUUUAACUUGUACCUAUGUAAUUACAGUGAGAGGUGAAGGCUGGAAUUCAGAGUGUGGACAUCAUAAUUGCUUUUUUGAUCAACUUUAGGUCAUAAUUUUAUAUAUAAAAAAAUAUGUAUCAAAACCCAAAAGGCACUUUUUUGCCAAUUUAAAAAAUGAGCUCUACCAUAACAAUUCAUGGAAUGGUGGGGAAACCAGUAUUUCAAACAGGUGAGUGUAUUGCUCUUAGUCAGUACUAUUGAAUGAAGUUUUAAUUAGUUAACCAGUCGUGCAACGAAGCCUCCAAACCACACACCACCAGGUGAACAAGUAGGUAUGAAUGUGCACUGUUCCCUUCCCUUAAAGGAAAUGAGAACAGCAUGAAGACACUUUUUAUAUUUCUAACUUUUGAAAGCUUUAUUUUUAACACAUCUCAACUUUAUUUUAGGUGCAUCUUUAGUGACUGGUCAAGAAAAACUGCAGCAUCACAGUAUUUAGUCUUAGUACGUACCAAAAGUAGGCUUGUAACUUAAGCAGUUCAAACAGAAAACUAUUUUACAUGCAUUUGCAUAUACAUCCAGAAAUUCAAUAUAUAUUUAUUUUCUAAAAUUAGUUUAAAUAUCAACUUUGCUAAAAAUAAUCAAAGAAAUGACCAGUUUGGUGCCAGUAUCUCUUACCAUUUGGGGACAGCCUAAUACAGGCAAAGCACUGUAUUAGGCAGGCCCUACCUGCACUGAGAAGAACCAGACUUUGAAAGAAAGCAUCUUAAACCACUCCCAAUGUCCUUAUCAACUGUGGUGUAUCUUUUCAUUUGUAAAAUUAAAAUCUUUAUGUGCCUUCUUUCACGUAAAUGCAGAUGGUUUAUGUACUACAGCAUAGAUACUAUGUUUACAUAUAGUUUUGUAAAGCACAUAUACUAUCAAUGGUCAGAAAAUAUGAAAAACAUAGUGGAUCAAACUUCAAGUAUUGCUUUGUCAAUAAUUAUGCAUUCAAACUGCAUUAAAAUAAAGUUAUCUGAAAGAAGCUCAUGAUCUACUGUAAUAAAGUAAAAAUAAUGAAAAAAGAAUCCCCCUCAUGAUUUGCCUUAUGCAUUGUGUUUGACUGUAUACUGGGGGGGGAAGCUAACAAAUAUUUCAGGUUUAGUCCAUUUGUAACUCAGGACAAACAUUUUCACUCCAGGUCAUAAGUAGUUGCGACUUGUUUAAAUAACCACAACAGCUUCCAAAAUCAGUCUGUCAUUUGGCUGCUGGUCUGUGAUGUGACUUUUGGGAAACAGAUAAGCCCAAAAUGUGCAGUGCACGGAAUACCCCUCUGUGUUCUUUAAAUAAGGGUGAAGAUUCUGAGAAAAUACCAUUAAGAGGCUUAAAUAGCACGAAAGACCAAGCACUAUGUUCUAUGAUUGAUUUGAAAACCCCACUUACAGACUGUUGUAGCGGCAUAUUUUCAAUUGCAUUCCUUUGAACAUAUAACAGAGAAAUCCUUCCUUCAAAGCUGAAAGGUGUUUGGAGACAGACAUUAAUACAGCACAAACUGUCAUAUAUUGAGUACUUCCCCUCCACGGAGGCGAGACCACAUAAAAGAACAGAGGGACAGCUGGGACCAAAGACACUAAGGUAUCUCUGAACAUUUGGCUCCCAUACAGGGACACCGACCACAGAUUACAAGGCCUAUGACUCACUGAUGGCAAGGAGACUUCCAAUAUUUUAACAGUAUCUGAUUGGAAAGCUGUUUUUGGAAGGAGAGCGCCUUUGAACGUAGCAAGCAAAGAUCAUCUCAACUUUUUAUUAACUCUGGCAUAGUCACAAGCUUUCUCACGAAGUAAACUGGUUUUAUUUAUCAACCCAAACCAGACGAAUAGCUUCCUUGAUUUUUCUUUCUGGCAACUCAAAGAUUCACUGAGUAUUACCACAAUAUCUCAAGCUAGCUACAGUGCAGGUAAACACAGUUUCAAGCUCUCCAACACCACUCGCCCCAACAAGCACCUUUGCAUACCCAGCACAGCUCCUUUUUAUGCCUUUCUGCCCCUACUUCAAAUUAAAACUUGAUGAUAAAUGUGGAGAACCAAAGAUUGACUGAUGUUUCUGGAUGGAAACAACAGAAGGGCAAAAAUCAGCUAAAAGACACAGAGGUUAGAAGGAAAUCGCUGGUAAUGAAAGGACGUUUAUUAUCAAGGAAGCUUGCUGCAAGGGGAAAAAAAUUAAAAGCUGUGCCUAGGAGAAAGGGAAAUUUUAACCAUAUUAAAGCAAGACUAUUUUAGUUUGAUCUAAUUAAUAGCUCUGUUCCUGCAAAUCUUAGUAGUUACUUAAAUAAAGAGCAAGACAAAGCAGCUAAUACUCCUUGCUUGUCAAUGAGAGGCAUACAUUCAGAGUAAUUUAUAUUGAAAAAGUUAAACUGCGUCAUAGAACUUAGAAAACGCAGCAUUUUUAUAAAGGUAACCAACCCCCAGACACUUUAUGAAAUCCCUGUGCAACAGAAGAGGAAUGAGUGUCUUAGGGAGAAAUGAAAAGAAGUCAUUUCCUUAGUGCUUUAUUAUUCCAGAAAAAAAAACAAGAAGUGGACACAAGAUGUCCAUUCACUUUAAAAUUAAUAAAACCUUUUGAUGUGGGGCAGCGAACGCCUG